rnacentral:piRNA from 1 species
ACAGAUUGGAAAUGGGAGACCAC